AAUAUUGCACAAUGGGCGAAAGCCUGAUGCAGCAACGCCGCGUGAGGGAUGACGGCCUNCGGGUUNUNAACCUCUUUUAGUAGGGNCGAAGCGAAAGUGACGGUACCUGCAGAAAAAGCACUGGCUAACUACGUGCCAGCAGCCGCGGUAAUACGUAGGGUGCAAGCGUUGUCCGGAAUUAUUGGGCGUAAAGAGCUCUUAGGCGGCUUGUCGCGUCUGCUGUGAAAAGCCGAGGCUCAACCUCGGGCUUGCGGUGAGUACGGUCAGGCUAGAGUGCGGUAGGGGAGAUUGGAAUUCCUGGUGUAGCGGUGGAAUGCGCAGAUAUCAGGAGGAACACCGAUGGCGAAGGCAGAUCUCUGGGCCGCUACUGACGCUGAGGAGCGAAAGCAUGGGGAGCGAAC
rnacentral:rRNA from 1 species